rnacentral:rRNA from 1 species
AAGUUUGAUGGCGACCGGCGCACGGGUGAGUAACACGUAUCCAACCUGCCGAUGACUCGGGGAUAGCCUUUCGAAAGAAAGAUUAAUACCCGAUGGCAUAGUUCUUCCGCAUGGUGGAACUAUUAAAGAAUUUCGGUCAUCGAUGGGGAUGCGUUCCAUUAGGUUGUUGGCGGGGUAACGGCCCACCAAGCCUUCGAUGGAUAGGGGUUCUGAGAGGAAGGCCCCCCACAUUGGAACUGAGACACGGUCCAAACUCCUACGGGAGGCAGCAUG